rnacentral:rRNA from 1 species
AACCUACGGGGGGCAGCAGUGGGGAAUAUUGGGCAAUGGGCGCAAGCCUGAUCCAGCAACGCCGCGUGAAGGAAGAAGGCUUUCGGGUUGUAAACUUCUUUUCUUGGGGACGAAGAAAGUGACGGUACCCAAGGAAUAAGCCACGGCUAACUACGUGCCAGCAGCCGCGGUAAUACGUAGGCGGCAAGCGUUAUCCGGAUUUAUUGGGUGUAAAGGGCGUGUAGGCGGGAUUGCAAGGCAGAUGUGAAAACCACGGGCUCAA